AGCGAACGCUGGCGGCAGGCCUAACACAUGCAAGUCGAACGGUUGUAGCAAUACAGCAGAGGCGCACGGGUGAGUAACGCGUGGAUAUCUGCCUUUUGGUUCGGAAUAACUCCGGGAAACUGGAGCUAAUACCGGAUGGUUCCUACGGGAUAAAGAUUUAUCGCCAAAAGAUGAGUCCGCGUACGAUUAGCUAGUUGGCGGGGUAAUGGCCCACCAAGGCGACGAUCGUUAGCUGGUCUGAGAGGACGAUCAGCCACACUGGGACUGAGACACGGCCCAGACUCCUACGGGAGGCAGCAGUGGGGAAUAUUGGACAAUGGGGGCAACCCUGAUCCAGCCAUGCCGCGUGAGUGAUGAAGGCCUUCGGGUUGUAAAGCUCUUUUGGCGGGGACGAUGAUGACGGUACCCGCAGAAUAAGCCCCGGCUAACUUCGUGCCAGCCGCCGCAGUAACAC
rnacentral:rRNA from 1 species